GGAAGGCUGUAGCUCAAUGGCAAAACAUCUGCUUUGCAUGAAGAAGGUCCCAGGUUCAAUCCCCGGCAUCUCCA